CUCCUCCAACGGUCUUUUUCUUUUCUCCGAGGCGGGAGAACACUUUUGGAAACACUGAAGCGAUUGAAUAUGGAGGACUUUGUUAAACUAAAGUUAACAGAACGGCAACUUCUUGAGCUGAUUGACACUUUUGCAGAUUGUGCAGGACUUCGAGGUUCUUCAUAAAGAGGCAUCAGACUAAAUCUUUGACCUGGAGGAGGUUCAGCGAUAAGCUUGUUCAUGCGGCCCAGUGGGAGGGGUAGAAGCUCCACGUGCAGACAGAGACAGAGUCUUUGUCUCAAGGCUCCAAAGACUACAUUGCCCUGAUGGUUCUGCCAGGCCUGAUUCCACCUGCAGUCUUCAGGAUGGGCCAAA